CUUACCAUGCAGUCGAGCGGGCGUAGCAAUACGUCAGCGGCAGACGGGUGAGUAACGCGUGGGAACGUACCUUUUGGUUCGGAACAACACAGGGAAACUUGUGCUAAUACCGGAUAAGCCCUUACGGGGAAAGAUUUAUCGCCGAAAGAUCGGCCCGCGUCUGAUUAGCUAGUUGGUGAGGUAAUGGCUCACCAAGGCGACGAUCAGUAGCUGGUCUGAGAGGAUGAUCAGCCACAUUGGGACUGAGACACGGC
rnacentral:rRNA from 1 species